rnacentral:rRNA from 1 species
UAUUCAACUAUUAUUUGAUUUACUUAAAUAAAUAAAAAAAUCAAUUAAAUGUAUCGGAGAUCGCAAUGGCAGAUUUCCUAAAAUGUAAAAUUGAGAUAUUCAUAAUGGAAAAUGACUUUUAAGACCUACUUUUUCACAAAAUAGAUAAUUAAGAUACCGUAGUUGAUGUAAUGGUUAAUUUGUGCCUACUUUUAUACUUUUAUGACCAAUAAGGAUUAUUUCAUUAACCCAUUUUAACUGAUAAACUUAUAGGACACAUUUAACCUUCUUAAACAAGAACUCUUUUAUUAAUAAUUCUAAUUUUUAUUUUUUUGUUAUUUUUACUUUUUUUAAACCCUUAACCCCUCCCACCCCAUGAACCAUUAUUAUUAAAUUUUUUUAAUGUUAUCUUGUUCUUUAACUGCAGUUUGAGCAAUUAUUUUAUGACAUUUGUUAGCUACAAAGGGCUACAUUAAUAUUUUUAUUUUAGCAUUUUUUUUAUUCUUGAAUGUUUUGUCACCCUGAAUGUGUUUGAUUUGAGUGGUUGGGAAUAUCUGAGUUUGAAGAGCAAUUUUUAUUGUUUCAAUUAAUGGUUACAUGAAAUUAUCUGAGUUGUGAAUUCUCUGUCACUAUUUAGUUUACAUGAAAUUAUCUUAUUCAAUAUUAGUUUCCAUUUUACCUCUAAGGCUAUGAUCAUGCUCUGUGUUAGAUAGCUUGUGACUAAAUAGUAAUAGAGAAUAAAAUAUAUUACUUUACAGGUAUCCAUGCAUUGAAGAAUAGGAAAUCAAAUUUCGAUAAAAAAUUUAUUUUAUUAACUACAUUAUGGAAUAAGCAAUGAUAAUUAAAACCAAAAUUCUAAUCAUCAUUAAGAAAUGUAAUGCAAGGGUACCUAUACACUUUUCUAAUCAAAUUUAUGACAAGUUAACCAAAUUGAUUUUAUUAAAUAAUUAAAACCAAAUUUCUAAUCUUCAUUAACUACAUUAUGAAAAGUUUACCAAACCUUAGCAUAAUAAUUUGAUUAACUUACCAGUCAAUGAAAACUUAUAAUUGGUUGUUUAUAAUUAGAAUCAUUAAUAUCGAUACCUACGAACAACAUGGGGUGGAAGGGGUCAACGGUAAAAAUAAAUAAAAAUAAAAACUAGAAUUAUUAAUAAAAGAGACAUUGUUGGUCAUAAAAGUAUAAAAUUAGGUUUCUAUUUGUUUAGAAAGGGUAAAGAUGUCUUAUAACUUUAUGAGUUAACUUGAGUUAAUAAAAGAGUCUUUAUUGGUCAUAAAAGUAUAAAAAUCGGAACAAAUUAACCAUUACAUCAACUACAAUAUCUAAAUUGUCUAUUUUGUAAAGAAGUAGGCCUUAGAAAUCAUUUUUCGUAUUCAUAAUACUUAGAAACAUAUUCUUGAGAUCUCAAUUUUUUGAAAUCCAUUUAUUCAUAAUAUUCAUGAUUACUCAGUGAAUGUUGAUGGACAACAGGGGAAUAUUCUUGUACUACCCCUUGUUGGUCCCGAGGGACAAAGGAGGCUAGGCUAGCCAAAAGAUGGUUAUUGGUUCAAGGACGCAAUGUGACCCAUCUUUUUCAAGAUUAAAAAGGGUAGAGAAAAUACCUCGAGUCAAUGUUCGAGUACCAGGCACUAAAGUAACUCAUGCCUUACUCCAAGGAAAAGCUCGAACAACCUUAAACAAAGGGAUACAUGUACCUAAAACCGACACAGGUGGGUGGGUAGAAAGCGAGACAAAUUUCUCUAAGGAACUCAACAAAAUAGCCCCGUAACAUUGGGAGAAGGGGUGCCUCCUCACAAAGGGGGUUGAAAUGACCAGGCUCAGGAGAUUGUUUACAAAAACACGGGUCUCCGAAAAGUUGUAAGGUCGCGUAUGGGGGUUGACGCCUGGUCAGUGCCGGAAGGUCAAGGAAGUUUGUGACCUGAUGACAGGAGAGUCGGCAACCGAAGCCCCAAUGAAUGGCAGUUGUAACUAUAAUUGUCCUAAGGUAGUGAAAUUUCUUGUCGAGUAAGUUCUGACCCUCACGAAAGGCGUAACGAUCUGGGCUUUGUCUCAGAAAGUGACUUAGUGAAAUAGACAUGUCUAUGAAGAUGUGGACUACCUAUACCUAGACAGAAAGACCCUAUGAAGCUUUAUUGUUCCCUGGGAUUGGCUUUGGGCCUUUCGUGCGCAGCUUAAGUGGACGGCGAAGAAGGCUCCCUUCAUCAGUAAGAUACCACUCUAGAAGAACUCGAACUCUAACCUUGUGUCAGGACCUACGGGCCAAGGGACAUUAUCAAGUAGACAUUUUCUAUGGGGCAUAGGCCUCCCAAAAGGUAACGGGGUGUGCAAAGGUUUUCUCAAGCCUUACGGAUACUGACCCUCGAGUGCAAAGGCAGAAAUGAGCUUGACUACAAGACCCACACAUCAAGCAAGGACGAAAGUCGGCCUUAGUGAUUCGAUAGUGUAGAGUGGAAGGGUCACCGCUCAAUGGAUAAAAGUUACUCUAUGGAUAACAGGUUGAUCUUCCUUAAGAGUUCACAUCGAUGGGAAGGUUUGGCACCUCGAUGUAUGUUCUUUGCCACCUAGGGUUGUAGUGUGUUCCAAGGGUUGGGUUGUUCGCUUAUUAAAGCGACAUGUGAGCUAGGUUCUGAACAUCGUGAGACAGUUCGGUCCAUGUUAGAUGUGGGCGUUAAAGCAUUGAAAGGACCUUUCCCUAGUACUAGAGGACCGGGAAGGAUGCACUUCUUGUGUACUAGUUAUCGUGCCCACGCCAAGUGUUGGGUAGCCAAGUGAGAAGCGGAUAAUUGUUGAAAGCAUCUAAGUAGUAAGCCCACCCCAAGAUGAGUGUUAUCCUAUUCCGACUUCCCUAGAGCCUCCGGUAGCAUAGCCAAGACAGUGACGGGUUCUCUAACCUUGCAGGGAUGGAGUGACAGAAGUUUUGAGAAUCCAACAAAAGGUCACGGCGAGACAAACCGUUUAUUAUUAUGAUA